rnacentral:rRNA from 1 species
UUAAUCCUACGGGGGGCAGCAGUCGGGAAUAUUGCGCAAUGGAGGAAACUCUGACGCAGUGACGCCGCGUAUAGGAAGAAGGUUUUCGGAUUGUAAACUAUUGUCGUGAGGGAAGAAGAUGACAGUACCUCAGGAGGAAGCUCCGGCUAACUAUGUGCCAGCAGCCGCGGUAAUACAUAGGGAGCAAGCGUUAUCCGGAAUUAUUGGGUGUAAAGGGUGCGUAGACGGGAUGUCAAGUUAGUUGUGAAAUACCUCGGCUCAACUGAGGAACUGCAACUAAAACUAACAUUCUUGAGUGCAGGAGA